CAGGACGACGCUAUCUCAAGGGGAAAAUUCACAACGGGCGAACGGAAAGGCCUUGUCUUUGCACAAGGUACUCUGAGGUGCGAACGGGUGAGUAACACGUGGGUGAUCUGCCCUGCACUGUGGGAUAAGCCUGGGAAACUGGGUCAAUACCAUAUAGGACCGAUCUUGGAUGGUGUGGUGGAAAGCUUUUGCGGUGUGGGAUGAGCCUGCGGCCUAUCAGCUUGUUGGUGGGGUAAUGGCCUACCAAGGCGGCGACGGGUAUCCGGCCUGAGAGGGUGUACGGACACAUUGGGACUGAAGAUACCGGCCCAGACUCCUACGGGAGGGCAAGCAGUGGGGAAAUAUUUGCACAAAUGGGCGCAAGCCCUGAUGCAGCCGACCGCCGCGGUGGGGGAUGAAGGCCCUUCGGGUUGUAAACUCCUUUCGCUAUCGACGAAAGCCACCUUGUGGUGACGGGUAGGGUAGAUAAGAAAGCACCCGGCCAAACCUACGUGCCAAGCAGGCCGCGGUAAUACGUAAGGGGUGCAAUGCGUUGUCCGGAAUUACUGGGCGUAAAGAGCUCGUAGGUGGUUUGUCGCGUCGUCUGUGAAAUCCCGGGGCUUAACUUCGGCAGUGCAGGCGAUACGGCAUAACUUGAGUGCUGUAGGGGAGAACUAAAAAUUCCCUGGUGUAGCGGUGAAAUGCGCAAGUUACUCAGGGGGAACACCGAUGGCGGAACGGUCAGGGUCAAAUGGGCAGUUCCCCCCUUGGUAAUCAUCCCCUGGUUGUUCCUUCGCGAAAAUCAAAGGGUUGGUUCCCGGGGCUUCCACGUCUUCUGUGCCGUAUCCGUAGGACUAACGCUCCCCGCCUGGGAGUACGGCCGCAAGGCUAAAACUCACACUGAAUUGACGGGGGCUCUCGCUACCAAGCGGAGGACGCUAUGUGCGAUUAAUUCUGAUGCAACGCAAAGAACCAUUCCUGGAGCUUGACAUAUCAGAGAUUGGGCUAGAGAUAGUCUUUCCCGUUGUGGUCUGUAUACAGGUGGUGCAUGGUUGUCGUCAGCUCGUGUCGUGAGAUGUUGGGUUAAGUCCCGCAACGAGCGCAACCCCUUGUCUUAUGUUGCCAGCACGUGAUGGUGGGAACUCAUUGAGAGACUGCCGGGGUUAACUCGGAGGAAGGUGGGGAUGACGUCAAAUCAUCAUGCCCCUUAUGUCCAGGGCUUCACACAUGCUACAAUGGUCGAUACAGUGGGCAGCGACAUCGUAAGGUGGAGCGAAUCCCUGAAAGUCGGCCUUAGUUCGGAUUGGGGUCUGCAAUCUCGACCCCAUGAAGUCGAGAUGUCGCUAGUAAUCGCACGAUCACGCAAUGCUGCGGUGAAUACGUUCCCGGGCCUUGUACACACCGCCCGUCACGUCAGUGAAACGUUGGUAACACCCGAACGCCAGUGGCCGUAACGUUGUAGGAGCAGUCAACGGUUGAUCCCGUGC
rnacentral:rRNA from 1 species